ensembl:lncRNA
CGCGCGGGCCGAGACGCCCCCUCCGCGCCUCCGGCUUCCCGCAGGCGCCGCCCGGGCCCCUCCGCGCCCGGGCUCGUCGGCCCUCCUCGGUCUGCGCGCCAGGCCCGUCUGCUUCCCGGGGCAGGGCCUUCCUCACGUGGCAACCCCGCAGGGUGUCUGCCGCCUGCUUCUUGCAGCCUCACUCCCGCGCUUGCUUGCUCGCCGCUCUGUGCCUUGUCCUCCUGCCCCCGGAGCUUGGAACACGGGAGCUGCCGCUAAUGUGCAUUGUGCUGUAUUGUUUGAGAACGUUCCUUUCUGCUGUGGAAGAAAACAAAUAGAAUGGAUGAAACGCAUCAAGGCGUGUUAAGCACAGAGGCUGGUGAGCUCCGUCUGCGGCGGUGGCCCUGCCGUGAGUCAGCAGGCCUGCAGUAGCCUCCCUGGCGCUCAGGUUGCUCUCUGGAUCCUCUGCUGCUCCAGCUGCCGUGUUAGACUUCCUGACCCUGAAGGCUGCCUGAAGAAACGGUGCUGUGAUUUUUAGAUACUGUGCACCAGCUGCCACCUGAUUCUUCUGACCACCCCAGGACCUGCCUGUUACCCGCAUGAGUCAGGAGUGGGUGACCUAAGAACUGGAGAGGCCUGAAAUGUUAGAGCCGGACAAGGGCUUGGAGACAGUCGCCCGUGGCUGUGGACUGCUUGAAAUGCUAGCUGUCAAUAUCAUCACUCACUCCCUCAAGUUUAUUAUUAAGGAAAUUGAAUUCUUCAGCGGAGAGAGGGGUGUUUGAUGUCUCCAACAUAUACAGGUGGAGAAAGUCUGAACGUCACGUGGAACAAAGGAGUCCCUUCCACAGAUUCUCUAUGGUGACCAUCCUUCUUCACUGAGAACUUCUUUCAGGAAAAAAUGGAAAAUUGUCCCAUUUUUUGAGUUAUUUGGUAAAAAAAGGCAUUACAUUUAUCAUUUAAAAUAUGUCCAGUCUUUCAAUAAAUACUGUGCAGCUAGUUGUAUUAUUUCGUAACCUAAAUACUUGGUAGUGGUAGCACGUUCAUUCAUUCAACAAAUAUUUGAGCUCCUGCUGUGUGCCAGAUUUUGUUCCAGCUCCCAGGAGAAAGUGUGAACCACGUCAAAGAUCUUCCUCUCACAGGCCUCACAAGGGUGGAGAGGCGGAAGGAGGAAAAGUCAGGUGAGCAAAUGAACAGACCGGGUAACGGCAGCUCGUGCCACGCAGCGUGAGUCACACACCUCAGGACGGCGUGGAGGGACUGACAGGGCAGAUGGGCUUCGCUUUGGAUUGAUCAGUCAGGGAAGACCCCUCUGAAUGGUGCUAUUUGGAUGACAUCUGAGUGUCACUCAAAGGAGCCAGCCGUUUGGAAAAAGAGCAUUGAAGGAUGAGGGGACAGGAAGUACAGAGCCCUGAAGCCAGAGGGAGCUUGGGUUGCACGAAACAUGGAAACACACAGGCAGUGUGGCUGCAGGGCAUGGCUCAGGGGGCGACGUGUCCAGUCACCUAGGCUCGGGGGCCAAGACAAGAGGAAGGAGUUGUUUCUAAAUGCCACGGGGAAGAGUUGGAGGACUUAGGGCCUAGGAGCAGUGUCAGGAAAGUAAGGCACAAAGUUCGAGGGGGUGCUGAAAAACCC